UACGGAGGGUGCAAGCGUUGCUCGGAAUUAUUGGGCGUAAAGGGUAGGUAGGUGGUCUCGUUUGUCUGGGGUGAAAGCCUUGGGCUUAACUCAAGAAGUGCCCCAGAAACGGCGAGACUAGAGUCCUAGAGAGGGUCGUGGAAUUCCUGGUGUAGCGGUGAAAUGCGCAGAUAUCAGGAGGAACACCGGUGGCGAAGGCGGGUCUCUGGGCCGAUACUGACGCUGGAGGAGCGAAAGCGUGGGGAGCGAACAGG
rnacentral:rRNA from 1 species